rnacentral:rRNA from 1 species
GACGAACGCUGGCGGCGUGCUUAACACAUGCAAGUCGAGCGAGAAACCUUCGGGUUUCUAGCGGCGGACGGGUGAGUAACACGUGGAUAAUCUGCCUCUAUGAUGGGGAUAACAGUUGGAAACGACUGCUAAUACCGAACACGCUCAUGAUGAACUUUAUGAGGAAAGGUGGCCUCUGCUUGUAAGCUAUCGCAUAGAGAUGAGUCCGCGUCCCAUUAGCUAGUUGGUGGGGUAACGGCCUACCAAGGCAACGAUGGGUAGCCGAUUUGAGAGGAUGAUCGGCCACACUGGAACUGAAACACGGUCCAGACUCCUACGGGAGGCAGCAGUGGGGAAUAUUGCGCAAUGGGCGAAAGCCUGACGCAGCGACGCCGCGUGAGGGAUGAAGGUCUUCGGAUCGUAAACCUCUGUCAGAAGGGAAGAAACUAGGGUGCUCUAAUCAUCAUCCUACUGACGGUACCUUCAAAGGAAGCACCGGCUAACUCUGUGCCAGCCGCCGCCGUAAGAC